rnacentral:rRNA from 1 species
UACAGAGGGUGCAAACGUUGCUCGGAAUCAUUGGGCGUAAAGCGCACGUAGGCGGCCUAGCAAGUAGGGAGUGAAAGCCCUCGGCUUAACCGAGGAAGUGCUUUCUAACUACUAGGCUUGAAUACUGGAGAGGGUCGCGGAAUUCCCGGUGUAGAGGUGAAAUUCGUAGAUAUUCGCAAGAACACCAGUGGCGAAGGCGGCUCACUGGCCCGGUACUGACGCUGAGGUGCGAAAGCGUGGGGAGCAAACAGG